GCUCAUAUGGUCUAGUUGGUUAUGACACAGCCUUAACACGGCUGGGGCCGCGGGUUCAAUUCCCGCUAUGGGUA
rfam:Oxytricha trifallax strain JRB310 Contig13769.0 macronuclear, whole genome shotgun sequence.